AGUUAUGGACUCAGGAUGAACGCUGGCGCGUAGCCUAACACAUGCAAGUCGAACGAAGCCAUUUACCGGAGAUUCGUCGAAGUGAAUUUGACUUAGUGGCGACGGGUGAGUAAUGUAUGAGCAACCUGCCUUUCAGAGGGGGACAACAGUUGAAACGACUGCUAAUACCGCAUAAUGUAUUUUGGGGGCAUCCUCGGGAUACCAAAGGAGCAAUCCGCUGAAAGAUGGGCUCAUAUCUGAUUAGUUAGUUGUGGGGCAACGGCCUACCAAGACUGCGAUCAGUAGCCGGACUGAGAGGUUGAACGGCCACAUUGGGACUGAGAUACGGCCCAGACUCCUACGGGAGCAGCAGUGGGGAAUAUUGGGCAAUGGGCGAAAGCCUGACCCAGCAACGCCGCGUGAAGGAAGAAGGUCUUCGGAUUGUAAACUUCUUUUAUGAGGGACGAAGGACGUGACGGUACCUCAUGAAUAAGCCACGGCUAACUACGUGCCAGCCGCUGC
rnacentral:rRNA from 1 species